GCAGGCCUAACACAUGCAAGUCGAACGGUAACAGGAAGCAGCUUGCUGCUUUGCUGACGAGUGGCGGACGGGUGAGUAAUGUCUGGGAAACUGCCUGAUGGAGGGGGAUAACUACUGGAAACGGUGGCUAAUACCGCAUAACGUCGCAAGACCAAAGAGGGGGACCUUCGGGCCUCUUGCCAUCAGAUGUGCCCAGAUGGGAUUAGCUUGUUGGUGAGGUAACGGCUCACCAAGGCGACGAUCCCUAGCUGGUCUGAGAGGAUGACCAGCCACACUGGAACUGAGACACGGUCCAGACUCCUACGGGAGGCAGCAGUGGGGAAUAUUGCACAAUGGGCGCAAGCCUGAUGCAGCCAUGCCGCGUGUAUGAAGAAGGCCUUCGGGUUGUAAAGUACUUUCAGCGGGGAGGAAGGUGUUGUGGUUAAUAACCGCAGCAAUUGACGUUACCCGCAGAAGAAGCACCGGCUAACUCCGUGCCAGCAGCCGCGGUAAUACGGAGGGUGCAAGCGUUAAUCGGAAUUACUGGGCGUAAAGCGCACGCAGGCGGUCUGUCAAGUCGGAUGUGAAAUCCCCGGGCUCAACCUGGGAACUGCAUUCGAAACUGGCAGGCUUGAGUCUUGUAGAGGGGGGUAGAAUUCCAGGUGUAGCGGUGAAAUGCGUAGAGAUCUGGAGGAAUACCGGUGGCGAAGGCGGCCCCCUGGACAAAGACUGACGCUCAGGUGCGAAAGCGUGGGGAGCAAACAGGAUUAGAUACCCUGGUAGUCCACGCCGUAAACGAUGUCUACUUGGAGGUUGUGCCCUUGAGGCGUGGCUUCCGGAGCUAACGCGUUAAGUAGACCGCCUGGGGAGUACGGCCGCAAGGUUAAAACUCAAAUGAAUUGACGGGGGCCCGCACAAGCGGUGGAGCAUGUGGUUUAAUUCGAUGCAACGCGAAGAACCUUACCUGGUCUUGACAUCCACAGAAGAAUCCAGAGAUGGAUUUGUGCCUUCGGGAACUGUGAGACAGGUGCUGCAUGGCUGUCGUCAGCUCGUGUUGUGAAAUGUUGGGUUAAGUCCCGCAACGAGCGCAACCCUUAUCCUUUGUUGCCAGCGGUUAGGCCGGGAACUCAAAGGAGACUGCCAGUGAUAAACUGGAGGAAGGUGGGGAUGACGUCAAGUCAUCAUGGCCCUUACGACCAGGGCUACACACGUGCUACAAUGGCGCAUACAAAGAGAAGCGACCUCGCGAGAGCAAGCGGACCUCAUAAAGUGCGUCGUAGUCCGGAUUGGAGUCUGCAACUCGACUCCAUGAAGUCGGAAUCGCUAGUAAUCGUGGAUCAGAAUGCCACGGUGAAUACGUUCCCGGGCCUUGUACACACCGCCCGUCACACCAUGGGAGUGGGUUGCAAAAGAAGUAGGUAGCUUAACCUUCGGGAGGGCGCUUACCACUUUGUGAUUCAUGACUGGGGUGAAGUCGUAACAAGGUAACCGUAGGGGAACCUGCGGUUGGA
rnacentral:rRNA from 1 species